rnacentral:rRNA from 1 species
CUCUUUUAGCAGGGAAGAAGCGAAAGUGACGGUACCUGCAGAAAAAGCGCCGGCUAACUACGUGCCAGCAGCCGCGGUAAUACGUAGGGCGCAAGCGUUAUCCGGAAUUAUUGGGCGUAAAGAGCUCGUAGGCGGUUUGUCGCGUCUGCUGUGAAAUCCGGAGGCUCAACCUCCGGCCUGCAGUGGGUACGGGCAGACUAGAGUGCGGUAGGGGAGAUUGGAAUUCCUGGUGUAGCGGUGGAAUGCGCAGAUAUCAGGAGGAACACCGAUGGCGAAGGCAGAUCUCUGGGCCGUAACUGACGCUGAGGAGCGAAAGGGUGGGGAGCAAACAGGCUUAGAUACCCUGGUAGUCCACCCCGUAAACGUUGGGAACUAGUUGUGGGGUCCAUUCCACGGAUUCCGUGACGCAGCUAACGCAUUAAGUUCCCCGCCUGGGGAGUACGGCCGCAAGGCUAAAACUCAAAGGAAUUGACGGGGACCCGCACAAGCGGCGGAGCAUGCGGAUUAAUUCGAUGCAACGCGAAGAACCUUACCAAGGCUUGACAUAUACGAGAACGGGCCAGAAAUGGUCAACUCUUUGGACACUCGUAAACAGGUGGUGCAUGGUUGUCGUCAGCUCGUGUCGUGAGAUGUUGGGUUAAGUCCCGCAACGAGCGCAACCCUCGUUCUAUGUUGCCAGCACGUAAUGGUGGGAACUCAUGGGAUACUGCCGGGGUCAACUCGGAGGAAGGUGGGGAUGA